GUUUUGUUGCGGUGAAAACAGCUUGUUUUGCUCAACAACAAAGAAGACGUAAAUGGAAUUACCUGACCAGCAAACCAGAGGAGCAGCAGUCCCACUCCCUUAUUUAGUGUCAGACUCAGGUGAGGGAUGACCAGAGGAAGCAAGCACAGGUACCACAGGAAGUACUGCAAUGAAAGAAAAUCAGCGGUGCACAAAUUAACACCAACAAUCUCCCACUUUCACAAAUAACUAAAAAAAGGGGGGGCACACAAAGUUUGGGAGUGUUACAUUGUCUCUUCAUGAUUGGAUCCUACAUGAAGCUAGAAUCACCAUUUUACAACCCAGUUUAUGUACCUGUGAAGUGCAGACUUUGUUGAAUGAGACGAAGAUGGCCGUGUGGAGGAAACAGGAAAAAGCCAAGUCAGAACGAAAGGCCCACGAUGCUGCUAAAAGCAGGAUGACCUGAGGGAGAAAUGCAGCCAGACCAAGCCACUGGCUCCACCUGCUGUCUGCGCCAACAAAGAACAAAA